UACGGGGGGGGCAAGCGUUGUUCGGAAUUACUGGGCGUAAAGGGCUCGUAGGCGGCCAACUAAGUCGGAUGUGAAAUCCCCAGGCUCAACUUGGGAACUGCAUUCGAUACUGCCGUGCUUGAGGACUGGAGAGGAGACUGGAAUUUACGGUGUAGCGGUGAAAUGCGUAGAUAUCGUAAGGAAGACCAGUGGCGAAGGCGGGUCUCUGGACAGUUCCUGACGCUGAGGCACGAAGGUCAGGGGAGCAAACGGG
rnacentral:rRNA from 1 species